UGCAUCUGCGGCCAGUGAGGAUGAGAACCUCCGGGGGCAGGAGGUUCGACUCGAGCGAAGCGAGAGAACGUUGCGUCAGCAACGGCCCGCAGGGCGAGCCAC
rnacentral:sRNA from 1 species